rnacentral:rRNA from 1 species
UGGGGAAUAUUGGACAAUGGGGGAAACCCUGAUCCAGCAAUGCCGCGUGAAUGAUGAAGGCCUUCGGGUUGUAAAGUUCUUUUGUUUACGAAGAUAAUGACGGUAGUAAACGAAUAAGCCCUGGCUAACUCUGUGCCAGCAGCCGCGGUAAUACAGAGAGGGCUAGCGUUGUCCGGAAUGACUGGGCGUAAAGAGCGCGUAGGUGGUCUAUUAAGUUGGAUGUGAAAUCCCCGGGCUCAACCUGGGAACUGCAUUCGAUACUGGUAGACUGGAGGCCGAGAGAGGAAAGCGGAAUGACGAGUGUAGAGGUGAAAUUCGUAGAUAUUCGUCGGAACACCAGAGGCGAAGGCGGCUUUCUGGCUCGGACCUGACACUGAGGCGCGAAAGCGUGGGGAGCAAA